rnacentral:rRNA from 1 species
CCUACGGGUGGCUGCAGUGAGGAAUAUUGGUCAAUGGGCGCGAGCCUGAACCAGCCAAGUCGCGUGAGGGAAGACGGUCCUAUGGAUUGUAAACCUCUUUUGUCGGGGAGCAAAAGACGCCACGCGUGGCGUUCCGAGAGUACCCGAAGAAAAAGCAUCGGCUAACUCCGUGCCAGCAGCCGCGGUAAUACGGAGGAUGCGAACGUAAUCCGGAUUUAUGGGGUUUAAAGGGUGCGCAGGCGGAAGAUCAAGUCAGCGGUAAAAUUGAGAGGCUCAACCUCUUCGAGCCGUUGAAACUGGUGUUCUUGAGUGAGUGAGAAGUAGGCGGAAGGCGUGGUGUAGCGGUGAAAUGCAUAGAUAUCACGCAGAACUCCGAUUGCGAAGGCAGCAUACCGGCGCUCAACUGACGCUCAUGCACGAAAGUGUGGGUAUCGAACAGGAUUAGAUACCCGGGUAGUC